AGUGAACGCUGGCGGUAGGCCUAACACAUGCAAGUCGAACGGCAGCACAGUAAGAGCUUGCUCUUACGGGUGGCGAGUGGCGGACGGGUGAGGAAUACAUCGGAAUCUACUUUUUCGUGGGGGAUAACGUAGGGAAACUUACGCUAAUACCGCAUACGACCUACGGGUGAAAACAGGGGAUCUUCGGACCUUGCGCGAUUGAAUGAGCCGAUGUCGGAUUAGCUAGUUGGCGGGGUAAAGGCCCACCAAGGCGACGAUCCGUAGCUGGUCUGAGAGGAUGAUCAGCCACACUGGAACUGAGACACGGUCCAGACUCCUACGGGAGGCAGCAGUGGGGAAUAUUGGGCAAUGGGCGCAAGCCUGAUCCAGCCAUACCGCGUGGGUGAAGAAGGCCUUCGGGUUGUAAAGCCCUUUUGUUGGGAAAGAAAAGCAGCAGGUUAAUACCCCGCUGUUCUGACGGUACCCAAAGAAUAAGCACCGGCUAACUUCGUG
rnacentral:rRNA from 1 species